rnacentral:pre_miRNA from 1 species
UGAGGUAGUAGGUUGUAUAGUUUUAGGGUCAUACCCACAGCUGGGAGAUAACUAUACAGUCUACUGUCUUUC